ensembl:lncRNA TEX26-AS1 TEX26 antisense RNA 1
CUUUUGCUGGAUAACCUUACCUGGUAAUUUGACAUACUAGGUGGUUAGUAACUACUGACUGUCUCCAGGUUACAACACAGUUAUUACCCACUUGGGUGAAAAGAGAAGACAGGAAAUACAUUUUGGAGUUGGCUGGCAACCUGUUUACAAAGCAAUUUACAACAGUUCCUUAUUCUUAAGGGGCUAUUCUAAUACAAGACCUCAGAGAAACAGUGCAGUGUGACAAAGGAGGAAUUUAUCAAAGGAGACAGAAAAAGCAUCAAGGCAAGCUGUGAAAUGGUGCGGUAGGAACCAAAUAGAGAGCCAAAGGAUCUUUCUGUCACUGCAGGCCCUUAGGGUGCCUGACAUGAAAAUCACAGCCUUGGCGAGAAAACAGCCGCUGCAGGGAGUGGUGCCCACAGUACUCUAGGCAUCCCUCACCUGCGUCCACUUCCCACCAUCCCUCGGAGGGGCCAGCACACAAGACAGUGACCGGGGCAUGUGUCAAGAGCAUGCGAGAGAAUAUCUACCCUGAGGCAGGAAAACACGGCUUCCGCUCGGCUGUCUCCCAGCUUGGUUUCUUAGAAAUCUAUGUCAUUAUCUUUCUGCUGGGAUUGUCAGACCUGAUUUUGAGAGCAUUUAAAACCUGACCCCUGAUGGAGCCUCUAAAA